rnacentral:rRNA from 1 species
GAGUGAAGCGGCAACAGCUCAAAUUUGAAAUCUGGCCCUUUCAGGGUCCGAGUUGUAAUUUGUAGAGGGUGCUUUGGCGUUGGCUGUGGUCUAAGUUCCUUGGAACAGGACGUCGCAGAGGGUGAGAAUCCCGUAUGUGGCCGCCAGUCUUCGCCGUGUAAAGCCCCUUCGACGAGUCGAGUUGUUUGGGAAUGCAGCUCUAAAUGGGAGGUAAAUUUCUUCUAAAGCUAAAUAUUGGCCAGAGACCGAUAGCGCACAAGUAGAGUGAUCGAAAGAUGAAAAGCACUUUGGAAAGAGAGUCAAAAAGCACGUGAAAUUGUUGAAAGGGAAGCGCUUGCAGCCAGACUUGCCUGUAGUUGCUCAUCCGGGCUUUUGCCCGGUGCACUCUUCUAUGGGCAGGCCAGCAUCAGUCCCAGCGGUUGGAUAAAUGCCUGUUGAAUGUACCUCUCUUCGGGGAGGACUUAUAGCUUCGGGCGGCAUACAACCAGCCGGGAUUGAGGUCCGCGCAUCUGCUAG